ensembl:snRNA U6 U6 spliceosomal RNA
GUGCUUGCUUUGGCAACACAUAUACUAAAAUUGGAAUGAUACAGAGAUUAGCAUGGCCCCUGUCCAAGGAUGACACACAUUUGUGCAGCAUUCCAUUAAGAA